UGGACCAGUGAUGAUGAUCGUGAUGGGAAGAGUCCUAUUUGAUGAAAACAUGUCUCAGACUCUGAGGUCCAA
ensembl:snoRNA